UGCAGUUUUAUAUAGACUUUAUAAAAAGUACCGCGCAGUAAAAAUUACUCAACGUUUUUUUAUUAAAGCCCAUAUUCAGCUGCAAAUAAACCGGGCGGCAUUGGCCAUAAGGCCCAAAUUACCAACCAACUGUCCAUGCCCGUCCAUAUUAAUCCGAAGGGAGUAGAAGGAGCAUCAGUAUGUUUGUAGGUACAGUGAAAUGGUUUAACGAGUCAAAGGGGUUUGGUUUCAUUGCUCAGGAAAACGGCAAUGAUGUAUUCGUUCACUUUUCCGCCAUCCAAUCCGAUGGAUUCAAGACCCUAAAGGAAGGUCAGAAGGUGAAAUUUGAAAUUGUUGAUGGCAAGAAGGGGCCGGCGGCCUCAAAUGUUCAGCCCGUCUAACCAAAAAUAAGAAUAUUACUCUUGAAGCCUCAUGUGAUAUCAUGAGGCUUUAUUU
rnacentral:sRNA from 1 species